rnacentral:rRNA from 1 species
CGACCGGCGCACGGGUGAGUAACGCGUAUCCAACCUGCCCACCACUUGGGGAUAACCUUGCGAAAGUAAGACUAAUACCCAAUGAUAUCUCUAGAAGACAUCUGAAAGAGAUUAAAGAUUUAUCGGUGAUGGAUGGGGAUGCGUCUGAUUAGCUUGUUGGCGGGGUAACGGCCCACCAAGGCGACGAUCAGUAGGGGUUCUGAGAGGAGGGUCCCCCACAUUGGAACUGAGACACGGUCCAA